GUUGAUUUGACACAUUUACAUAUUGCAAUAUGCUUACCACCCUAGCAUUAGCGCACAUUUCCAUCAUAUCAUAUAAUGAUCAUUUCUUCUUUUGUGGUGGGAAGAAUUAAGAUCUAGUCUCUUAGGAACUUGGAAGUUUACAAUGGAGUAUUGUUGUCUAUAAUCACUGUGCAGGGCAUUCGAUUUUUAGAACUUGUCUGGUCAGGGUUGGUAUAUGAAACAUCUUCACGUGUCUUCCUCUACGUAAUCAUCUGGGAAUCUGCUAAGCAGGCCUCUCCAAGAGGCUUCUCCCCAUGGUCUCUUGGAGCUUCUUCUCCACAUGGUGGCUGAAUGCAAGGGUGAACAUCCUGAGAGGCAGCCAGAAGGAACUAUGUCACCAUGUAUGACCCAACCUCAGAAGGCACACUGCAUCCAUUCCACUAUUUCCUAUUGGUUGAGGAGUCACAAGUCCCACCUAUGUUCAAAUAAAGGGGAAAGAGAUUCUAUCUCCAGAUGGGAAGUGGCAAGGUUCUAGAGGAGAAUGUAAGAACAGAAAUAUUGCUGUGCCAUUUUGGGAAAAUACAAUCUGUCAGAGGAUUGUUUUGUGUUUUUUGUUUUUAUGUGAACUAUACACUGCAAUACAUGGAGGGAAGAGAAAGAAGGCUCCAGGCGUAGAGAUCCAGGAAUUAAGCACUGAGAAGAAGCCAGCCCCUGAUAAUUUCUACUAAGGCAUCUCAGAAAAAAAUUUGUAAAUAUUCCUGAGAAUAAGUAUAUGCAAAAAAUGUAUUUAAAUGUGCUAAUCUAGUGUGUUGGUGCCAUAAAGUUAAUUUUGACUCCUAGUGGCCCUAUAUACAGCAAAGCAUAACCUUGCCCGGUCUUUCGCCACCACCCUCUCACCUUCUGGAG
rnacentral:lncRNA from 1 species